AUGCCAAUGUCUCUUGUAAUUUUCCUAGCUAUAGCUGGAGCAAUCUUGUUCUUACUUUCAGUUAUUCUUAUUGUUUGGAUACUUUCCAAGAAGCUCAAACCAAGCCAGAAUACAUUAGCACACAAUUCAAUUGUUGAUGACCAUUAUGAGAGAAUCCCCUAUCAGGCAUUAAUGAGAGGAACUAACGGAUUUUCAGAAGUCAACUUGCUUGGCGGAGGAAGUUAUGGUGUGGUUUAUAAGUGUGUUUUGGACACUGAAGAAAGAACAUUGGCUGUCAAAGUAUUUGCUAGGUAUUCCAAGAGUUUUGAGGCUGAAUGUGAGGCCAUGAGAAGGAUACGACAUCGUUGUAUCAUUAAGAUCAUUACUUCUUGUUCGAGCAUCAAUCACCAAGGUCAAGAGUUCAAGGCAUUGGUUUUUGAGUUCAUGCCCAAUGGUAACUUGGAUGGAUGGCUUCAUAAAAAAUCGCAAGAGCCCACAAGAAACAACACACUCAACCUUGCCCAGAGGCUUGAUAUUGCUGUCGAUAUUGUGGCAGCAACAACACAGCCUUGGGCGCCUCCCUCCUCCCCUGCUACACAGCCGACGGCCCCCCCUCCCAGGGGGUCUACACACUUAAUAAAAGUGUGUACCUCUGUAGCAACAACAUUAUCUUGA
rnacentral:rRNA from 1 species